rnacentral:rRNA from 1 species
UACGAAGGGUACGAGCGUUAUUCGGAGUUACUGGGCGUAAAGAGCGUGUAGGCGGUUAGUUAAGUUAGUUGUUAAAUUCCCCGGCCUAACUGGGGAUCAGCAGCUAAAACUGGCUGGCUAGAGUACAAGAGAGAGAAGUAGAAUUCCCGGAGUAGCGGUAAAAUGCGUAGAUCUCGGGAGGAAUACCGAUGGCGAAGGCAGCUUCUUAGCUUGUAACUGACGCUAAAGCGCGAAAGCGUGGGGAG